AUACGUAGGGGGCGAGCGUUGUCCGGAAUGAUUGGGCGUAAAGGGCGCGUAGGCGGCGCGGUAAGUCUGGAGUGAAAGUCCUGCUUUCAAGGUGGGAAUUGCUUUGGAUACUGCCGCGCUUGAGUGCAGGAGAGGUUAUCGGAAUUCCCGGGGUAGCGGUGAAAUGCGUAGAGAUCGGGAGGAAGACCAGUGGCGAAGGCGGGUAACUGGACUGCAACUGACGCUGAGGCGCGAAAGUGUGGGGAGCAAACAGGAUUAGAUACCCUGGUAGUCCACACUGUAAACGAUGAAUGCUAGGUGUAAGAGGUAGCGACCCCUUUUGUGCCGGAGUCAACACAAUAAGCAUUCCGCCUGGGGAGUCCGGCCGCAAGGUUGAAACUCAAAGGAAUUGACGGGG
rnacentral:rRNA from 1 species